rnacentral:miRNA from 1 species
GUGCUCCCUUCACACCAAUAA